GAAAUAACUUAUUGUGUAUGAUGUCAUGGGAAAAGGAAAAGAUAAAAUAUGGCUUACUGGAUAUUCCUCUUGUAAAAUACAGUUAUAUUUUAAUUGGUAAUAAAAAUAGGCUGUGUUGAAUUAAAUGCCAACAAAAAUGAGAACAGAUUGCUGGAUAAUGCAUCCACAAAAUAAAAUGGUGGAGCAUGCAAAGAAAAAUAAUUUACCUAAUACUAAUACUGGAAAAAGGAAUUUCUCAAAAGUAAUCCAUAGAAAUAAAGAAUAAUAAUAUAGUGUAAAUCUGUGUGCAUAAAAUAUAUACAUAUGUGAUUUCCAAAUGGCAACUCACAUAAUAUAGAGCGAAAUAAUAGUGGUGAAGCAAUUGGUGUCUUAAAAGUUCCACACAACCUUCUGGAUGAAUGAUAUUGAUGGAUGGUAACCUCAAAAAUAAAUUAAAAGAUCAGCCACUAAAGGUGCUUCCUGGUCUUUCACGCAGAUUAACUUCACAAAACGACGUGUACUUUUCAUGAAGACAUGUAGUUUCUUAAAAAUCCCCAUAUGAAAGCAUUAAUUCAAUGCUUUCUAUGGGAGAAGCCUAAUGUAAGUGUGUCGCUCGCCGUGCCUGUCCACUUGGUCGUACCCCCCCUCCUCCCAUUCUGAGGUUGGAGGAGGCGGAGAGCGACCUAGCGCUGAGGGACCUACAGUGUUAAGAAAACAGUUCCUUUAAGGACAAAAUAGCCAAAGUGCAAAAAGUCUCUAAACCAGCAAUGCUUUCAAUUUGGGCCUUUCAAUCAAAGAGGUGUAAUUCACUUUGACUUCUCAUUUUAAUAAAUAGUUAGUCAAACAAUGUCUUCCCAGCAAAGUGUAUCACUUCAUUUAAAUACAUUGGUGGAAAGAAGCAAUGGAGACGAGAUGAUGGUGGUUUAGUUACAUUAUAUGAUCAUACAUUGCAUAAGCCUGCCACAACGUCAAUGUACACCAUCUUUGGCAGGUCCUAUCCUUACAACCAACUGUUUACUAAAUGAGCACCAAAGUAACUGUUUAGUAGAUAAGGG